rnacentral:lncRNA from 1 species
AUCAAUUUUCCCCUUGAAAUAAAGUCACUUCCAAGGGAAUCCAUGCUCACUGUAAAACUGUUUGGGAUUGCCUGUGCAACCAACAAUGCAAAUUUACUGGCGUGGACUUGUCUUCCACUGUUUCCAAAAGAGAGCAGCUAUACAAGUGUCUUUCCUUCUCAUGAGUGAGUUUCCUUAAAGUUUUACCUGCAGUAUUUGUAAGAUCUACCAUUUUUUGUAGAAUAUUUCUAGCUAGUCACUGAAAAUAAAAAAAGGUUAAGUCCAUUUUACUCUCCCAUCAUGUAACACACUACUUGCACAUAUCAAU